UCUGCCGCCAAGCAGUGAUGUAUUCCGGUUUUGAAGGAUUUGUUCUGGCGAUACUGAGCGUAAAACUUCGUGCGAAUCCUUGGAAUAUCCAUAACGUAGGUGUGGAACCCCAGCAUACAUAACAAGGGAAAGGUGAAAUUUAGUUUCACUAGUGCAGAGCUCCAAAAAUUCCACAAAACAAUGCACCACACAUUCUCAACGCUUUAGCAUCCGGUAACGAAUAGUGCUGCAGGACACUUUAAAAAUUUUCCAGAG